rfam:Eubacterium ventriosum ATCC 27560 Scfld0224 genomic scaffold, whole genome shotgun sequence.
CUACUUUAUCGGUAGGUGAGGUUACCAUAGGGAUUCGGUUUAAUCCUAAGAUUGCUGCCGCGAGAUUGUGGAGACACAAUUAGUUGGUUAGCAGGAUGUGUCGUUAAGGCAUAACCUAAUGCAAUUAAUAUACGCCCUAUGAUGCUAAAGCUUGAACGGUGAUUUUAUUU